rnacentral:lncRNA from 1 species
UCCCUCGGUACUUCUGAAACAUAAAUUCUCACAUUUGUCUGAUAAGUCCCAAGUCCUGAAUUUGUGGAGGCGGGUGGUGAAAUGCACAGCAUGUACUUGCAAUACUUGAAAAUUUAUAUGAAAAUGAGAAUAAUCUUCUAAUUAUCUUAAAUGACUUUCAAAGAUCACACCUUCCAAUCUUUAGAUUAGACUAAUUAAGUUUCAAAUUCAGGCUACUUACAACUUGGAAGACUUUCUGUAUAAUAUAGAAAUUUGUAUAGUAAUUGUACAGGUUCAUAUUAUGGGUUC